ACCGGCCGCCGCCGCGUGGAAGAGUAGCAACAGCACAAGGAAGGAGACGAUGGAGUGAGGCUUGAGAUGCAUGGAUGGAUCAUCAAUCAUCAAUGGCAAACCUGCAGAAAAUGCAGAGGAAAGCUGAAUUCUACUAGAAUAAUACUGCUGGAGCUAGGCAACAGGUCAACUGAGUCACCACUAAUUGGCAGAGAGAAAAAUCCAAAGCCAGGAAGGACAAGCGAAAAUUCCCGGUUUGAUUAUUAGGCUGGCCAUCAGAUGUCCUAGUCCAUACGAUUCGUUCUGCAGAAUGGAGUUUAAUUGCACAUGGGCAGCGUCGGAAUUCGGGAACCUGUGUACUAGUAUAGUCCAGGCUGAGUCAAGUCAAGGCUGAAUCAGGAAAUGAUGCUACAAGUGCAUUGAUCAGAUGGAAAGGCCAUGAUCAGCUGCUAAUUGAGCAUCCUCCUCACUGUUAAACACACCGUAGGUUUCAGAAUUUUUCAGAUGUAAAAGAACCAAUUUGGCACUGGAAAUAAAGGCUCUGUUUUGAACGCAGGAAUUUCACAAGAUUUUCACAGGAAACGGUUAAAUUCCUGCAGCAUAAUGCAACUGCUAAUGACCAUGUGGCCAUGCGUAUAGCCUAUCAGCUUGUGCUGAGCAAAACACUGAGCUCACUUGACCAAGCUGGAAA